CCUACGGGAGGCUGCAGUGAGGAAUAUUGGUCAAUGGGCUCGAGCCUGAACCAGCCAAGUAGCGUGAAGGAAGACUGCCCUACGGGUUGUAAACUUCUUUUAUAAAGGAAUAAAGUUAGGCACGUGUGCCUUUUUGCAUGUACUUUAUGAAUAAGGAUCGGCUAACUCCGUGCCAGCAGCCGCGGUAAUACGGAGGAUCCGAGCGUUAUCCAGAUUUAUUGGGUUUAAAGGGAGCGUAGGUGGGUUGUUAAGUCAGUUGUGAAAGUUUGCGGCUUAACCGUAAAAUUGCAAUUGAUACUGGCAGUCUUGAGUAUAGUUGAGGUAGGCGGAAUUCGUGGUGUAGCGGUGAAAUGCUUAGAUAUCACGAAGAACUCCGAUUGCGAAGGCAGCUUACUAAACUGUGACUGACAUUGAUGCACGAAAGCGUGGGUAUCAAACAGGAUUAGAUACCCUUGUAGUC
rnacentral:rRNA from 1 species